UUGUUUGCUGCCCAACGGUCACUAAACGUACAUAUGAGCCGCUCCAUCCAUCACCCGGUGUUCCAGUCGUUUGAACCAAUCCGACGUGGCUGGACAGCAGUUUACAUGGCAAUGGACGGCGUGAAACUCAGCCAUGGUGGACGCGACUUCCAUUUAAACAUACGAUUCCUCACGUUUAACAAUUGAAAUCCCCUAACCCAUUUCUCUCAAGCCCUAGAUCUAUUUCCCCCAAUUAGCUCUUCCAAACUUGGCGAUUCCAGAUUGCUUCGCCUUCCUAGCAACAUCGGAUGCAGCUUGUCUUCAUCGUCGUCUUAGUAGCACCGUCGUUCUGUCGACACAAGACCCGCAUCCCGGUUGACAGUUUUCAAAACGCGGCAAAAGGAAAGAGGGACAAAUAGGGGCAUAUGUCACAGUUAUAGGAAGCCUGGGCACUUCUUGUAUGAUUGCCCGACAAAGACUGGGUAAAAUUUGAUGUGUUGGGAGAGAACUGCACGCAUGGACUCUUAAAGAUGGACCAGCCGCCACUUCAUAUAAUAUUCCUACGGACGAGGUUAACUUCGAAGUGUUGGUGGAGAAGCUGCAACACAUAGACAAUGCCGAAUAUUCAAGGUUGAGAUCGAAAAGGGAACGAAGAAAACGACUUGUUAACACUUUUACAACAACGUCCCUAUAGUCUUCAGGCAAUACCAAACGGGCCGAUUAAUAUUAAUACCAAAUGGAAAGGCUAUGCCGAACCAAGCUAUGCUGGCGAAAAUGGAGAGAGUCUUGGGUGUGAAGCUGAGACGAAAAUUUGUACAUCAAUGAUGAUUAUAAUUGAAUAUUGAAAUUACUAGUCUCCGUGUUGAUUUAGAAUAAGAGAGGGAAAAAGCACAGAAAAAUGUGAUGUUGGAUAGUCUGGAAGUGGAAUUAACUGGUUAUGUUAUAUAAUUUGAAUUGUUUAUA